rnacentral:rRNA from 1 species
GACGGGGACCCGCACAAGCGGUGGAGCAUGUGGUUUAAUUCGACGAUACGCGAAGAACCUUACCUGGCCUUGACAUACUAAAAAGCUUUAAGAGAUUAGAGUGUGCUAGCUUGCUAGAAUUUAGAUACAGGUGCUGCACGGCUGUCGUCAGCUCGUGUCGUGAGAUGUUGGGUUAAGUCCCGCAACGAGCGCAACCCUCGUGUUUAGUUGCUAACAGUUCGGCUGAGAACUCUAAACAGACUGCCUACGCAAGUAGGAGGAAGGUGAGGACGACGUCAAGUCAUCAUGGCCCUUACGGCCAGGGCUACACACGUGCUACAAUGGGGUAUACAAAGAGCAGCGAUACGGUGACGUGGAGCAAAUCUAGAAAAUGCCUCUCAGUUCGGAUUGUAGUCUGCAACUCGACUACAUGAAGUUGGAAUCGCUAGUAAUCGUAGAUCAGCAAUGCUACGGUGAAUACGUUCCCGGGUCUU